GACGAACGCUGGCGGCGUGCUUAACACAUGCCAGUCGAACGAUGAACCCGGAGCUUGCUCUGGGGGAUUAGUGGCGAACGGGUGAGUAACACGUGAGUAACCUGCCCUGGACUCUGGGAUAAGCGUUGGAAACGACGUCUAAUACCGGAUAGGACCUUGGAUCGCAUGAUCUGGGGUGGAAAGUUUUUUCGGUCUGGGAUGGACUCGCGGCCUAUCAGCUUGUUGGUGAGGUAAUGGCUCACCAAGGCGUCGACGGGUAGCCGGCCUGAGAGGGUGACCGGCCACACUGGGACGGAGACACGGACCAGACUCCUACGGGAGGCAGCAGUGGGGAAUAUUGCACAAUGGGCGAAAGCCUGAUGCAGCAACGCCGCGUGCGGGAUGACGGCCGUCGGGUUGUAAACAGCUUUUAGUAGGGAAGAAGGGCUUCGGCUUGACGGUACCUGCAGAAAAAGGACCGGCUAACUACGUG
rnacentral:rRNA from 1 species